rnacentral:misc_RNA from 1 species
GGAGGUAAAAGUCGUAACAAGGUUUCCGUAGGUGAACCUGCGGAAGGAUCAUUAUUGUAUAACCGAGGUGCGAGGGCUGUCGCUGACCCGAAAGGUCGUGCACGCCCGAGUGCCCUCACACACAUCCACCUCACCCCUAUGUGCACCACCGCGUGGGUCCCCCUUUGGCUUGUUCGGAGGGGGGCUUACGUUUUCACACAAACUUUGUAUGCAGUGUAGAAUGUAUUUUUUGUUUUUGCGAUCACGCAAUCAAUACAACUUUCAACAACGGAUCUCUUGGCUCUC